rnacentral:lncRNA from 1 species
AUCUUGCCAGCUCUCCUUCAGGGAGCGCCCGCUAUGUGCCAGGCGCCGUGCCAAGCCUGAUCUCCCGUAGUCCUCACAGACCCUCCGCGCAACGAGAGAUCUGUUGUCCCAGGGUGAGGAAGCAAAGGCACAGAAGAGCUGAAGCGAUUUGCCCACAGUCACAAGGGCACUGGACUUUAAGGGCCAAGAGUGAAGACCAUUUUGUCCUGUUCUCUGGCACACAGUAGGCACUCGACAACUAUUUCAAAACUAAAGGAAUAAGCAAGUGGCCUCAUGGCUACUGAGGACAGAGUCUGGAACUGAAUGCAGGGCACUCUGAAGCUGGAGCUCACUUCUACAUUAUUGCCUUUCUCAUGCUACUAGCAGGCACUGAAUGUGUCAGUGAGUGAAUGAAUGAAACCAAGAUCUCAGGAUCCCAGUCAAGUGCUCCCUGAGUUUCAUUUCCUGGUAGUGUGGACAUGAGCCAAGCUCCAGCCACCUUGGAUGGUGGUGGGGGUGGCGGGGCUGAUGGGCCGCCUGAAGCCGGCUGUCAGGAGCUCGUCUGGCCACAGCCGCCAGCAGGAGAGACCAGCUGGCGGUGCAGGGUCCAUCGGCCCGGGCCUGGAAUCUGAGCUGCCCUCAGAGGCCCAGCUUCUCUCUGGGCCCCCACAAACUGGCCUUUGUUCCUGGGCCGGCCAAGACCCAGCAGCUUGGGCUUUCUGUCUGCCCGCGGCACCCGCGCUGAGCUGGCGGGGUAAAUGGGCCAGCCUCCCCUCUGUCCAUGCCCAGGACGUCGCUUUAGGACUAAAUGGAGAUGUAAUUUUCUAUACAAAUCCAUGACAAUUUAGAUGGAGUGAUUGUAAUUGGCUUUUCAAUGGGGGUUUUGUCCAGAGCUGGUGGCUAGAACUGGGUGGCCUGUUUGAGGCAGGCUCCAUUUAAAUGACAAUAAAGCAAUAAUAUUGA